GGGAGGCAGCAGUGAGGAAUAUUGGUCAAUGGGCGAGAGCCUGAACCAGCCAAGUAGCGUGAAGGAUGACUGCCUAUGGGUUGUAAACUUCUUUUAUAAAGGAAUAAGUCGGGUAUGGAUACCCGUUUGCAUGUACUUUAUGAAUAAGGAUCGGCUAACUCCGUGCCAGCAGCCGCGGUAAUACGGAGGAUCCGAGCGUUAUCCGGAUUUAUUGGGUUUAAAGGGAGCGUAGAUGGAUGUUUAAGUCAGUUGUGAAAGUUUGCGGCUCAACCGUAAAAUUGCAGUUGAUACUGGAUAUCUUGAGUGCAGUUGAGGCAGGCGGAAUUCGUGGUGUAGCGGUGAAA
rnacentral:rRNA from 1 species